rnacentral:rRNA from 1 species
AUUGAACGCUGGCGGCAGGCCUAACACAUGCAAGUCGAACGAGUGGCGGACGGGUGAGUAAUGUCUGGGAAACUGCCUGAUGGGGGGGGAUAACUACUGGAAACGGUAGCUAAUACCGCAUACCAUCGGCAGUGCCCAGAUGGGAUUAGCUAGUAGGUGGGGUAAAGGCUCACCUAGGAGACGAUCCCUAGCGGGUCUGAGGGGAUGACCAGCCACACUGGAACUGAUACACGGUCCAGACUCCGACGGGAGGCAGCAGUGGGGAAUAUGGCACAAUGGGCGCAAGCCUGAGGCAGCCAUGCCGCGUGUAGGAAGAAGGCCUUCGGGUUUUAAAGUACUUUCAGCGGGGAGGCGUUACCCGCAGAAGAAGCACCGGCUAACUCCGUGCCAGCAGCCGCGGUAAUUC